GACGAACGCUGGCGGCGUGCCUGACACAUGCAAGUCGGACGGUUCUUGCACCUUCAAGCUUGCUUGCUGGUGCAAGGAUAGUGGCGGACGGGUGAGUAACGCGUGAACAUCUACCCAUUGGAGGGGGACAACCCGUCGAAAAGGCGGGCUAAUACCGCGUAAGCCGCGAGGUGAGAGGCUGCCUAUUGGUGGCCGCCGAUGGAUGGGUUCGCGUCCUAUCAGCUGGUUGGUGGGGUAACGGCCUACCAAGGCGAAGACGGGUAGCCGGUCUGAGAGGAUGGCCGGCCACACUGGAACUGAGACACGGUCCAGACUCCUACGGGAGGCAGCAGUGAGGAAUAUUGGUCAAUGGACGAGAGUCUGAACCAGCCAAGUCGCGUGAAGGAAGACGGUUCUAUGAAUUGUAAACUUCUUUUGUGCAGGAAUAAAGUGGGUUACGUGUAACCUUUUGUAUGUACUGUACGAAUAAGGAUCGGCUAACUCCGUGCCAGCAGCCGCGGUAAUCU
rnacentral:rRNA from 1 species